GACGAACGCUGGCGGCGUGCUUAACACAUGCAAGUCGAACGGAAAGGCCCUGCUUUUGUGGGGUGCUCGAGUGGCGAACGGGUGAGUAACACGUGAGUAACCUGCCCUUGACUUUGGGAUAACUUCAGGAAACUGGGGCUAAUACCGGAUAGGAGCUCCUGCUGCAUGGUGGGGGUUGGAAAGUUUCGGCGGUUGGGGAUGGACUCGCGGCUUAUCAGCUUGUUGGUGGGGUAGUGGCUUACCAAGGCUUUGACGGGUAGCCGGCCUGAGAGGGUGACCGGCCACAUGGGGACUGGGAUACGGCCCAGACUCCUACGGAGGCAGCAGUGGGGAAUAUUGCACAAUGGGCGGAAGCCUGAUGCAGCAACGCCGCGUGCGGGAUGACGGCCUUCGGGUUGUAAACCGCUUUCGCCUGUGACGAAGCGUGAGUGACGGUAAUGGGUAAAGAAGCACCGGCUAACUACGUG
rnacentral:rRNA from 1 species